GAGGCAGUGCAAGUACCCAGAAAAGGUUUUGCUAUUUCUUGGCUACUUUUAUGUUCUGGUCAGGUCAUUGUGCAGAGAUCUGACAGAAUUUAAGGGAGCAAUGAGCAGAAGCACACACAAUUAAGGAGAUUCUACUUUGAGCAUGCCUCAUUUCUAGGAGCUACGGGUACACAAAGAAAUCGAAAUUAACACAACUACAACUAAUUGGACAUUCAUUGAUCAACAAAGGAUAUCAACACAGCACCUCAGGACACCUGAGAGACGCACGGCCAUACAUUGCCAGGUGGAUGGACUUCCCCCAGGGAAGGAGGUGGAGAUAGGUGAAAACACUCCAGCCCCCAGACAGCCUAGUACCUGCAAGUAACUAUCUCCUAGCUGACAUGCUCAUAGCACCACCAUGGCACUGAGGGUGGGUAUGCGCAUUGGCAGCGAGACUGUGGAAAUAUGUGACUAUAGCCCUAAGGACCCCCUGAUUGCUCCUUAGUCCAGUGGGAAAAUCCAUGGUCUCACAGUGGCCAAAGGGAAAGUCUCUGGUUGGCCCUUGUGGAGAGUCCCCACCCUCCAAACACAGAGGCUGAGAGGCCUUGGGGCAGAAGUGGCUUGGCUGGUUGAGCAACCUACCAGCUGCAUUAAACACACCCAGCCCUGCUGUGGCCCCAAGGGGGCAAGGGAGCCCUAGUGGGACCGUGUGAGUUGGCAGAGACACCCAGAGCCCCAGUGUGACUGCUCCUUGGUCCAGAGGGAAAAUCCAAGGUCCCACACCAGCUGCAGGGAGAGCCUCUACUCAGCCUUAGUGGAGAGGCCCUGCACAUGAAGCACAAAGGCUAGGCGACCUAAGAGCAGAAGCAGCGGUGCUGGGUGAGCUAACCACUGGCUGCAUUAGGUACCCAUAGCUUUGCUGUGGCCUAGAUUGGACAAAUGAGAUCCUGUGGGACCCGAUGGUGGCAGAACUGUGAGUCUAGGUGAAUUAGCUCCCAGCUGCUGCAAAAGCCCAUAAGCCUGCUGCAGAUCCUAAGGAGGGAGUGUGUCUAGGCAGUCUGUGAAAGCAGGCACCAGCCACCUAAAGCCCCCUUGUGAUUGUUCCCAAAGCUGAUGGGAGAUCUCACAGGGCCACUGUGAUCCUGAGGAUGGGCCCAGGCUCAGUCAGACAGCUGAUAGGGAUCCUAGUUGGUGCAGAUUACAGCUGCUGCCCUGCCACCUCCAGUGGAAGCAAGUGGAAGCAGUAACCAAACUUUAUCUCUCUGUGGAGUCACAAAUACACACUAUCAAGCAGUAGAAAAUAAUACAUUAAAUCGCCAGAACAGAAGGAAAAUGACAAGUACCCAGAAAACAAUCCCAAAGACACAGAAAUCUACAACCUAAAUGACAAUGAAUUCAAAACGGAAAUCAUUAAAAACCUUGAUGAGUUAAAAGAGAAUACAGAUAGACAACUCAACGAGUUCAGGAGCUAUGUCACAAAAGAG
rnacentral:lncRNA from 1 species